rnacentral:rRNA from 1 species
GAUCCUGGCUCAGGAUGAACGCUGGCGGCGUGCUUAACACAUGCAAGUCGAGCGAAGCACUUAAGUUAGAUUCUUCGGAUGAAGACUUUUGUGACUGAGCGGCGGACGGGUGAGUAACGCGUGGGUAACCUGCCUCAUACAGGGGGAUAACAGUUAGAAAUGACUGCUAAUACCGCAUAAGACCACGGUACCGCAUGGUACAGUGGUAAAAACUCCGGUGGUAUGAGAUCGGACCCGCGU